rnacentral:tRNA from 1 species
GCCUGUUUAGCUCAGUUGGUAGAGCAUGGGACUCUUAAUCCCAGGGUCGUGGGUUCGAGCCCCACAGCGGGCU